UACGUAGGGUGCAAGCGUUGUCCGGAAUUAUUGGGCGUAAAGAGCUCGUAGGCGGUCUGUCGCGUCGGAUGUGAAAACCCAGGGCUCAACCCUGGGCCUGCAUUCGAUACGGGCAGACUAGAGUGUGGUAGGGGAGAUCGGAAUUCCUGGUGUAGCGGUGAAAUGCGCAGAUAUCAGGAGGAACACCGGUGGCGAAGGCGGAUCUCUGGGCCAUUACUGACGCUGAGGAGCGAAAGCGUGGGGAGCGAACAGG
rnacentral:rRNA from 1 species